rnacentral:tRNA from 1 species
GUGAGUGUAGCUCAGUUGGUAGAGCACCGGACUGUGACUCCGGUCGUCGAGGGUUCAAGCCCCUUCACUCACC